UCACUAACGCUUGCCUGGGGAAUCCCUCUGCCUUCUCUCCAGGUAACGACCAGACUCCAGUCCUGUACCUCAACGCUUCCAGUGCCAAGGAGGGGGAAAUAAUUCUCUUUCAGUGUGCCAUUGAUUGGCAGUUUCCUGCUACACGAGUUGUCUUCUGCAAGAAUGGGCAGGAGGAGUUCAGUCUGAAAGCCCAGCAGGGCAAGGUCACCUAUACUCUGGUCCUGAACAUCACCUCCAGAAAUGCUGGGACGUACAAGUGUGGGUACCAGCAGAGGAACGAGGGCAACUGGGUGAGGAACUCUGCUCUCAGUGCUCCCCAGACCCUGUCUGUACCAGUGAGUCCAGCUCCUCAGCAAGGCCGUUGCCCCCAGGCAGUGUGUCCAACUCCCCAGCAGGGCCAUCACACCCGGCUCCACAUUCUCGGAUCCCACACGCCCUCGCCACAGGCACAGCGCUGGCAGUGGCAGCCGUCGGCCUCGUCCUCCUGGCUGCAGGCAGCUGGUUUGCCAUCAGGAAAGGUGCCUGCAGAGCGAGAUGCCCAAGGCAGCAGCACGUUGACAGCCCACAAGAAGAAGACACCAACAACGACAAUAUUCAGUACUCCACCAUCGCCCACGUUCGACGGGACAGGCCUCGUCCCAUGCAGCAGAUGAGUGACACCACGACAUAUGCCACGGUGACCCGCACCCAGAUCCGAUAGCGCUGCCACAGGGCAAGGGCACAGGAGCCUUGCCCACGGCUGCCUUUGCUCUCUUGCAGAGGGCUCGUGCAGGCUUAAGGAGGGGCUGGGGGUUGCACUUUGUGCUUCUUUGGAGUUUGCUGUCACAGGGAAGGGCUGUGUGUGUCUAGCCAAGACGAUGUAGGACUCAUUUCUCUAUUUGCAAUACAUUAAGACCUAAAAUAUAUCACGUUUACCAAAUCAUAGUGUGAGUGUAUUGAUGUUUCUUUACCGAGUUAAAACAUCUCCCUGUGCUCAGUGGAGGAUGCGUGUACCUAAAUCGCACAAUAAAGACACAGGGUGCUCUUCCA
rnacentral:lncRNA from 1 species